GAUGAACGCUGGCGGCGUCCCUAAUACAUGCAAGUCGAGCGAACGGACGAGAAGCUUGCUUCUCUGAUGUUAGCGGCGGACGGGUGAGUAACACGUGGAUAACCUACCUAUAAGACUGGGAUAACUUCGGGAAACCGGAGCUAAUACCGGAUAAUAUUUUGAACCGCAUGGUUCAAAAGUAAAAGACGGUCUUGCUGUCACUUAUAGAUGGAUCCGCGCUGCAUUAGCUAGUUGGUAAGGUAACGGCUUACCAAGGCAACGAUGCAUAGCCGACCUGAGAGGGUGAUCGGCCACACUGGAACUGAGACACGGUCCAGACUCCUACGGGAGGCAGCAGUAGGGAAUCUUCCGCAAUGGGCGAAAGCCUGACGGAGCAACGCCGCGUGAGUGAUGAAGGUCUUCGGAUCGUAAAACUCUGUUAUUAGGGAAGAACAUAUGUGUAAGUAACUGUGCACAUCUUGACGGUACCUAAUCAGAAAGCCACGGCUAACUACGUG
rnacentral:rRNA from 1 species